rnacentral:tRNA from 1 species
GGGCGCAUAGCUCAGUUGGUUAGAGCGCCUGCCUUACAAGCAGGAUGUCAGGGGUUCGAGUCCCUUUGCGCCCA